rnacentral:rRNA from 1 species
UCGAGAAUCUUCCCCAAUGGCCGAAAGGCUGAGGGAGCGACGCCGCGUGCAGGAAGAAGCUCUUCGGAGUGUAAACUGCUUUUCUUCGGGAACAACUCUGAGUGUACCGAAGGAAUAAGGGGCUGCUAACUUCGUGCCAGCAGCAGCGGUAAUACGAAGGCCCCGAGCGUUAUCCGGAUUUAUUGGGCGUAAAGCGUUAAUAGGUGGUUCUGUAAGUAUUCGGUCAAAUCUCGUGGCUCAACCACGAGGCUGCCGGGUAAACUGCAGGACUUGAGGUCGGAAGAGGCAAGCGGAACUACCGGUGUAGUGGUAAAAUGCGUUAAUAUCGGUAGGAACACCAAAGGCGAAGGCAGCUUGCUGGUACGCACCUGACACUAAAUAACGAAAGCGUGGGGAGCGAAUGGG